UUCAAAAUUAUUUCAAGCAAUUGGGACGUGGGGAUUCCCAUGGUAUUUAUCGAUAUAAAACUGCUUUUUAUUUGAUAAAAACGUGAAAUUAUAAUUUAUUUUCGCUGGAUGGAACUAGGGUGUGUGGCUUUAAGUAAAUCAUCAAUAUAUUUGUACAAAUUUUAAGGGCAGUCUGUAUCAAAAUAAAGACAGCUAUUAUAUACCUGUGUACAGUUUCCUAUCAUUUGGGCUAUGAUGUUUAUAUAAUUAUAUAUAUAUAUAUAUACACACACACAGAAUAUUGUCUUGUAUUCUAGAUCUUUGUUUUAGAAAAUAUUAAAAGUAUUUCUUUCUUGAAUACUUAUUUACAAACUGUGAAAUCAUUUUAAAAUCAUUGAAAAGCUACACUAUGUUUACCAAAUGGUGUGCAAAUAAAUUAUGUGGAUUAAUAUAUAUAUUUUUUUUUUAUCAGAAUGUUAAGAUCUUCAGAUUGGUCCUAUGAUCCAUUUCACUUCAGGAGACUGGUAGUCCAAUUAUUUUGUUCUUUUUAAAAUCACCUGCUGGUUCUGUAGACAAUUUUAAAUGCACAUUAGUCAUGCAACAUGUAGCCUAGUGGUUAAAAUGCUCGCCCGAUUAUCGGUCUAGGAUCGAUCAGCCCAUGCUCCAAAACUGAUGGAACCAAGGCUGUGGUAUAUAUACUAUCCUGUCUGAGAUGCUGCAUAUAGAAGAUCUCAAGCUGCUAAUUGGAAAGAGUAGCCCAUUGCAUAGCAGUAGCAAGUUUCCUCUCUCAUUAUCCAUGUGGUCCUGACUCUGGACCCUAUGUCUGACGCAAUAUCACCAUAAUUAAAAUGUGUAGAGUGUGUGUGUCGUUAAAUAAAAUAUUUCACCUUAUUAGUCAUGCAACCAAUUGUGUUAAGUAGCAUCCUUUAUCAAGACACCAUUGUUUCCUAUACUUCUAUACAAUUUUGUUGAUCUAAUUUAUAAAAAUUAUGUGAAUGGUAUUAGAAAAGUAAUGGAAGUGAAAUCCGACAACAAAAACCUGUGCAGAUAAAUAAUUUACUGAAUUACAUGUUAUGUACAAUAGUUUUAUUGUGAACUCUGAGAUUCAUAUAUAGUUCUAACAAGUCACACUCAAUGUAAAUAUUCUGAUUAGUAGUCAAUACAAGCAUCAGAAAUCCAAAAAGGUUACAAGACAAAUGAGGAAAAACUAAGCCAGUUAAAUAAUGCUGAAAAGAAGUUUGUAAUACAUCUUAAACAUCUCCGUCCAAAAAAGCCAUUUUUCUUUAGGAAGAAAACAAAAUAUUUUCAAGCAGUGUAGUUGUCAAAAAAAUAUAUAUAUUCUCAAAAUUAAUUUUUAAGCAUUAUACAGAGUAUUUCAUAAGUUAAUCGAUCUGAAACAAAUAACCAGAAAUAGCACAAAUUAGGAUGAGGAAUUGGGUAUUAAAAAGUUGCUUCAAUAAACACAGGAAAAAUGGGUAGAAAAACCCUUAUAAAAAAAAAUAUAACUACCGUCACAUGAUGUAUAUAGGAGUUCACCAUUCCAUAACAGAACAGGAACAAAAGUAUAACUACCGUCACAUGAUGUAUAUAGGAGU
rnacentral:lncRNA from 1 species